UUUCUUCAUAAGUAGAAGUGAUUUUACCAUUGAGGCUGAGUCAUAAGCUGUAUGAUGGAAAACGUUGCUGAAAUGAAGACUGCCUUCAAAUUACCUGGGAAGACCAUAUCUGUGCUGAACUAUACCGAAGAGACAAUAAUGGUUUCAGCAAAGAUACUGUGUCUGCAGAUAUAUUCUCUUGUUCCAUUCAUUCAUAAUUAUGAAGAAAAGAAACAAGCCUGCUUUCUGGGGGAGGGGGAGAUAGCGGAGGAGGGUGCCUUGAAGAGUGGUUCGAUAUCUGGAUCGAACAGAGGAACUUUUCCCCCCUUAGGAUCCUGCCUGGAGAAACCUUGACAUGCACAAAGUCAGAACCUAGACAAAGUUGCCCUGGUGAGAACGAUAAGGUCACCCGUGGGAUUGCUAAGAUUAUCUCUGUCAAGCACUUGGACAGCAUGCAGUCAAAUGAUGCAUCAUGCAGUCAUUUUCAGGGGGGGAAAUCAAUUUCUUCACCAGGUCGCUAUUUGCUUUUCAAAGUGCCCUUGUAGGCCUUCCACCACCAAGCAUUUAUCAAUUUAAAUGUUGUAAAUUGAUAAUGUGCCACUGUAACUUGUACUGUUUCUGAAUUAUUUUGAUACUUCUCUUUUCUCUGUGGUCCCCCAAUCCUUCAGUGCAUUUAUAUUUUAAAAGGGUUUCCCCCUUUCUCUUUUCAGCUAAACGAACAACAAAAACAACACCCCCCAAGCCUAAUAAAUACUUUAAUUUUGUGUUUGUUUGUUGCU